rnacentral:lncRNA from 7 species
AUUCUUCACUCAGCUGUUUGCUAUUAGGGCUGGAGCAGUAGCAGUGAGAAAUUCAUUGCUGCUUGGUCUCCGAAUCCUGACACAGUAACAGCGCAGACCCAACCAGCCAAAUCCACAAAGGAUCAAGGGAAGGGGAAAAAGAGAGCAACAAUCUUUUGAGCGCUUGCCGUCUCUCUUAUAUUGCACCUUUCAUCCCCGAGGAGCCGAUUUACCGAUGGUCUGACUCUGCCCCAUUCCUGCAGAGGCUUACGCUACAUUGCAUUAGAAGACAGGGCCUCUGCUUAUACCAGAAAACUUCAGGAGCACAUCUGCUGAAGUACCAGGAACCACUGAAGAUGGAGAUCAUGCCAGUGGUCAUCACCAGCCAAACAUCCCCACAGAGCUGGAGCAUCCCGCAGUGGGGCAGAGCCAGAGGAUCAGCUGAUGUUGGCUUCAUACUGGAGGGAAACCUAACACUCAUUCUCCAUCAGGUGCCAUCACAUUGCCCAAGAUAGAAGAAGAAUUCCAAGAGUUGCAAGAGGCAGAAGCUUUCAGCUUUGUUACUUUCCUGGAAAACACAGAAUUCUUUUUGCACUUUCAUCCGAGAUGAAUAAACAAAAUAAAUUGCAUCCCACAUCAAACUGAAAAUAAUCCAUGACUUCUUUAUUUUAUUUAAAGCAUGACUGCUUUAAUUUCUUUAGCCACAUCUGCUUUGUAUCUUGUGAAGAUUUUUUUAUUUUGAAUGCGUGGCAUAUGUCCAGGAUGUUUUUCAUCUGAAAACCUCUAAUUUUGUGCUCUGAAAGAUCAGCCAACAGUAAUAGCAAUAUUGCCUCAUUCUGCAAGGAAAAGCAUAAGCAUGACCCUCUAAGAUUUCCUUGCAGAAGUUGUAGCUGCAUAUUCCUGGUGCAUAUGAUUUCUCAGAGAGGAUAUAGCAUAUAAAGAAGUAAACCAGCGUUGAUUAUUUCAUUAAUAACAAUAAUAAUAAAAGAGCAAAUAAUUCUU